AAUAGAUACCCGGGUAGUCCACGCCGUAAACGAUGGAUACUAGCUGUUGGGGGUAUCGACCCCCCCAGUAGCGAAGCUAACGCGUUAAGUAUCCCGCCUGUGGAGUACGGCCGCAAGGCUAAAACAUAAAGGAAUUGACGGGGACCCGCACAAGCGGUGGAUCAUGUUCUUUAAUUCGAUGAUAAACGAUAAACCUUACCAGGGCUUGACAUCCCGAGAAUUACUCCGAAAGGAGUGAGUGCUUUUAGAACUCGGUGACAGAUCUUGCAUGGCCGUCGUCAGCUCGUGUCGUGAGAUGUUUGGUUAAGUCCAUCAACGAGCGCAACCCUUGUGAAUAGUUGUAUUUUUCUAUUCAGACUGCCCCGGCAACGGGGAGGAAGGAGGGGAUGAUGUCAGGUCAGUAUUAGUCUUACGUCCUGGGCUAGAAACGUGAUACAAUGGCCGGUACAAUGCGUAGCGAAGCAGUAAUGUGAAGCAAAUCGUAUCAAAGCCGGUCCCAGUUCGGAUUGGGGGCUGAAACUCGCCCCCAUGAAGUCGGAAUCG
rnacentral:rRNA from 1 species